AAUUAAAAUCCUGAGCUGUCGCCUGAACACAACAAUUUGCUGCCACAGCAGUCAGCAUUUCCAAGUCGUAAUUCAUUUCUGCUCCUGAUGCAACCCCACGUGUCCGGUGACACAACAACACGCUCCUUGACAUUCCUAGAUUACUGUCAGUUUACGGGAGGGCCAUCAGUUUAUGGGAAGCAGUAAGAAGUGAUCUGAGCAGCCUGAUCUAGCUGCAUGUGUCCCCAUUAAUUAAUGGAGCUGGAUCAGGUGGCCUUUAUAAGCUUCAUCCAACUCAAACGAUUCUAAAAAUAUCCCCAUCUCCCCAAAUCCUAAUGAGGGAAUUCCUUAUGAAUGGAAAGAAUUAGGAAAGAAGAAGGGCUGAGAUCAUCAACGUUUGGCUGACAUAUAUCGAGUGCAUUAAUUAUCCCCUUGGCAUUGGGCAGCGGUGUCUCAUGCUCAAAAUAACCCUUUUGGAGGGCUAUAAAACCCACUCAGCCCAGUCCUCUCCAGUCGUCGUCCCUUCCAGCCACUCCUCUUGCUCUUGCAGAGGUAAGGCCACUUCUCCUUGCGCUCCUGCCCAGAAGGAAGCAGCGUGCACAGAGGCAGCUUUGCUGACGCUCAGAAGAGAUGGGUGCCAACAAGUCCUGCCACAGCCAGGAGUCCUCCUGCCACAGCUCCCAACCCUGCAACCACUCGGGGUCCUCCUGCCAUUCCAGCAACCAGAACAUCCCUCCCACGUACCCCUGCGUGAUGCCAUGCCCUCCAGCACAGACCUCCUGUGCCCCCACACAGUGCUAUUCCCCACCGGUGCAAACCUCCUACCCUCAGAACAGCAGCACAGCCUACAAGCUGCCACCACCGUGCCCCAAGUUCUAACAGCAGGAUCUGGCCAUGCACGCAGCUCUGCAGCCCCUGGACACCUCCCUGCUCAAUGCACCAACCUCAUCCUCAUUGCUUACCAGCUGUGAUGCUUCUCCAUGAGCGUUCAAAGCAGUCAGAGGGCAAUGCAAUAUUGGGGUGCAGCACCUCUGGUUGAUUAUUUGGGUUCUUUCUGCUGUGCAACACACGAUGUUUGCUGCCAACAGUUUCCUUCUUGCUUUGCUGCUCCCAUCUUCAGCCAGGAAAUAAAAGCUGAAUUUCAAUCA
rnacentral:lncRNA from 1 species